ACAAAAAAAAUCAUCAGACUGACAUUUCACAUAUCUCACCACAACUAUAACGAACAAAUGUUUUGCCUCUUCUCAGAUGUACUAGGAUGGGUGUGUUUCACUGCGGCAGUGUGCUCUGUUAAAGAACACAGUGAACAAAUCAAAGAGAGGCUCACUACAAGUGUCACGAGGUCAGAGAUCAAGGAUUGAAGCAAUAACCAUUUCAUUUGAAAAUGAAGGACAGCAAAGGACAACGGUCUUUCCUUUCAGCUGAUUAAAUACUGUUGCCAUUAUACUGUACAGAAGCAAGGUGCUUUUCAACUAUUUGUGAUUUGACUACAAGCGGGUCAAACAGCAUGUGCACCUUUUAAAUUAAUUACACAGCACCAGGAUCUAACAGAAACGGUACAAGACCUUGUGCGCAACAGACUGGUGAGCUCUUCCAUGCAGAUUCAAGAUUUGUGUGGUGUGAAACCAUCUGCAGCAAAGAAUGCAUCCUGAGGAUUAAUCCUGACCUCCAUCAGAGAUGUCAGAAAAUGUAUAUUGUUAAUAAAAUGCCAAACACUACUGUAUUCACUCU